rnacentral:rRNA from 1 species
UUGACGGGGCCCGGCACAAGCAGCGGAGCAUGUGGUUUAAUUCGAAGCAACGCGAAGAACCUUACCAAGACUUGACAUCCCCUGACAGCUGUUGAAAGGCAGUGUCUCUUCGGAGCAGGGAGACAGGUGGUGCAUGGUUGUCGUCAGCUCGUGUCGUGAGAUGUUGGGUUAAGUCCCGCAACGAGCGCAACCCUUAUCCUUAGUUACCAGCACGUAAAGGUGGGGACUCUAGGGAGACCGCCGGGGACGACUCGGAGGAAGGUGGGGACGACGUCAAAUCAUCAUGCCCCUUAUGUCUUGGGCUACACACGUGCUACAAUGGCCGCAACAGAGGGAAGCGAGAGCGCAAGCUGGAGCAAAACCCUAAAAAGCGGUCCCAGUUCGGAUUGUGGGCUGCAACCCGCCCACAUGAAGUCGGAGUUGCUAGUAAUCGCGAAUCAGCAUGUCGCGGUGAAUGCGUUCCCGGGCCUU